rnacentral:rRNA from 1 species
GGGCCGCAUUAGCCUGAGUGUGCUAAGGUAGCGCGAUAAUUUGCCUUUUAAUUAGAGGCUGGUAUGAAUGGGUUAACGUAAGAGUUGCUGUGUCAGAUAAAAAGUUAAAUUUAAUUUUUAGGUGAAGAAGCCUAAAUAACCUAGGAGGACGACAAGACCCUAGAAUCUGGUUUAAUUUGGCUAAUUGAGUAGUCGGAGGAUAUUUGUUGGGGCAACAAGAUUAGUAGGUAUAAUCUAACGUAAAAGACCUAUUUGUUAGAUCUGUUUUUACAAAGGUAGUAAGUUACUCUAGGGAUAACAGCGUAAUUUCUUUUGAUAGUUCUUAUUGAAAAGUGAAGUUUGCGACCUCGAUGUUGAAUUAAGGUAACCUUAAGGUGUAGCCGCUUUAAAGGGUUGGUCUGUUCGCCCAUUAAAACCUUACGUGAUCUGAG